rnacentral:rRNA from 1 species
CCUACGGGAGGCAGCAGUGAGGAAUAUUGGUCAAUGGGCGUAAGCCUGAACCAGCCAAGUCGCGUGAGGGAUGAAGGUUCUAUGGAUCGUAAACCUCUUUUAUAAGGGAAUAAAGUGUGGGAAGAGUCCUGUUUUGUAUGUACCUUAUGAAUAAGGAUCGGCUAACUCCGUGCCAGCAGCCGCGGUAAUACGGAGGAUCCGAGCGUUAUCCGGAUUUAUUGGGUUUAAAGGGUGCGUAGGCGGCCUUUUAAGUCAGCGGUGAAAGUCUGUGGCUCAACCAUAGAAUUGCCGUUGAAACUGGGAGGCUUGAGUAUGUUUGAGGCAGGCGGAAUGCGGGGUGUAGCGGUGAAAUGCUUAGAUAUCCCGCAGAACCCCGAUUGCGAAGGCAGCCUGCCAGGCCAUGACUGACGCUGAUGCACGAAAGCGUGGGGAUCAAACAGGAUUAGAUACCCGUGUAGUC